rnacentral:rRNA from 1 species
AUUGAACGCUGGCGGCAGGCCUAACCCAUGCAAGUCGAGCGAGCGGCGGACGGGUGAGUAAUGUAUGGGGACUGCCCGAUAGAGGGGGAUAACUACUGGAAACGGUGGCUAAUACCGCAUACUAUCGGAUAACCCAUAUGGGAUUAGCUAGUAGGUGGGGUAACGGCUCACCUAGGCGACGAUCCCUAGCUGGUCUGAGAGGAUGAUCAGCCACACUGGGACUGAGACACGGCCCAGACUCCUACGGAGGCAGCAGUAGGGAAUAUUGCACAAUGGACGAAAGCCUGACCGAGCCAUGCCGCGUGAAUGAAGAAGGCCUUAGGGUUGUAAAGUACUUUCAGCGGGGAGGCGGUACCCAAAGAGGAAGCACCGGCUAACUACGUGCCAGCAGCCGCGGUAAUAC